rnacentral:tRNA from 1 species
GGGGCUGUGGCUCAGCGGUAGAGUACUCACCUAGCAUGUUCGAGGAGCUGGGUUCGAUCCUCAGCACCACA